rnacentral:rRNA from 1 species
CAGCAGCCGCGGGAAAACAGAGGGUGCGAGCGUUAAUCGGAUUUACUGGGCGUAAAGCGCACGCAGGCGGUCUGUCAAGUCGGAUGUGAAAUCCCCGGGCUCAACCUGGGAACUGCAUUCGAAACUGGCAGGCUAGAGUCUUGUAGAGGGGGGUAGAAUUCCAGGUGUAGCGGUGAAAUGCGUAGAGAUCUGGAGGAAUACCGGUGGCGAAGGCGGCCCCCUGGACAAAGACUGACGCUCAGGUGCGAAAGCGUGGGGAGCAAACAGGAUUAGAUACCCCAGUAGUCCCUGUCUCUUAUAA